rnacentral:rRNA from 1 species
AUUGAACGCUGGCGGCAUGCCUUACACAUGCAAGUCGAACGGCAGCACGGACUUCGGUCAGGUGGCGAGUGGCGAACGGGUGAGUAAUGUAUCGGAACGUACCUUUCAGUGGGGGAUAACGUAGCGAAAGUUACGCUAAUACCGCAUAUUCUGUGCGCAGGAAAGCAGGGGAUCGCAAGACCUUGCGCUGAUUGAGCGGCCGAUAUCAGAUUAGCUAGUUGGUGAGGUAAAGGCUCACCAAGGCGACGAUCUGUAGCGGGUCUGAGAGGAUGAUCCGCCACACUGGAACUGAGACACGGUCCAGACUCCUACGGGAGGCAGCAGCGGGAAUUUUGGACAAUGGGGGCAACCCUGAUCCAGCCAUGCCGCGUGAGUGAAGAAGGCCUUCGGGUUGUAAAGCUCUUUCGGCCGGGAAGAAAUCGUAUCAGCUAAUACCUGGUGCGGAUGACGGUACCGGCAUAAGAAGCACCGGCUAACUACGUGCCAGCAGCCGCAGUAACAC